rnacentral:rRNA from 1 species
GACGAACGCUGGCGGCGUGCUUAACACAUGCAAGUCGAACGGAAAGGCCUGCUUUCCCUUGUGGAUUGCGGGUGCUCGAGUGGCGAACGGGUGAGUAACACGUGAGUGAUCUGCCCCCAACUUGGGUAUAAGCCUGGGAAACUGGGUCUAAUUCCCGAUAGGACUGCAGGGUGGUGCCUGUGGUGGAAAACGAUUUUCUAGUGGGUGGGGAUGAGCUCGCGGCCUAUCAGCUUGUUGGUGGGGUAAUGGCCUACCAAGGCGGCGACGGGUAGCCGGCCUGGGAGGGUGGACGGCCCCAUUGGGACUGAGAUACGGCCCAGACUCCUACGGGAGGCAGCAGUGGGGAAUAUUGCCCAAUGGGCGGAAGCCUGAUGCAGCGACGCCGCGUGGGGGAUGACGGCCUUCGGGUUGUAAACUCCUUUCGACCGCGAGGAAGCCACCUGGUUGGAAGGGUGGUGACGGUAGUGGUAGAAGAAGCACCGGCUAACUACGUG